UCAAAUACAAAAGCCAGCAGAAUAACUUAAAAACUUAACCAAACCAUCUACCAUCCUCAAUUCAAAUCUAUCUUCUCACUCAUCACGAAUCAAUCCUGACUUUUGGAAACUGAAUCACAAUAAACUAUAAUGAAUAUAAAACCCAGUAAGCAAACUAGUUUUUCUUAUAUGAAAGUACAUACAUACUUAUACAUAAUGCAAUGGAUGAUAUGCCAUGAUCUUUUGGAAAUACUAUAAAAUAAAUUCAUAAAAAUCUCUUUCUGUCGCUUUCAAACUUUCUCAUUUUCUUUCGAUGAAAUACGUAUCCUGCAAUGUGGCACUUUGUGCUUUGCGUGGCACUUUGCACCAUGCGUGGCACUUUGCGGCACUCUGGCCCUCAAGAGGUGGCCCCCACAUAGUCUUAAGAGGUGGCCCCCACACAACUUCAAGAGGUAACCCCCAAUGCAAAAUCUCAUAAAAUAGAAAUCUUAUUUUUUAAAAUCCACUUUCUCAUUCGUAAAAAACUCAAUGCAUUUUCGUGCUUAUGCCAAUGAACCAUCACACAUACAUAUGCCCAUGUACAUAAUCAUGCUCAACACAUAACAACACAUCAUAUAAACAUAUGGGCAAAGACAUAUAGAUCCAUAUUCGUACAUAUCAAAAUGAGCUUUUCACACAAGUCAAACAAUAUAUUGUUUAUUGUGAUUCGUUUUGAAGUCUAGUUUACUUACCUCUUGGCAUCCUCAUGUAACAAAUGCGUACUGAUACCAUCAACCUAAAAUCAUCAAUAACGCCUCAUAAGAUAUAAUCAAAUCUCAAUCAUAAACUCUAAUGUCCUCAAAUAUCUCAAUUUAAACAACUCCUAAGCUCAACCUCAAUUGUCCUCAAUAAUCGGCCCUGAAAACAUAACAGUCUAUAUUUCUCUGAUUUUUUAAUAAAUUAGUCUCUAAUUGGAAGAAUCUCAAAUUUUGCAAACCAUAUGCUGACACAUUGAAAGUUGAUUGAUAAAAAUUUCAUAAUAUAAUUCCUUCAAAAACUAUUGAAAAUAAUUCACGUUUUAGACAUCAUCAAUACUGUCAAACAGUUUUCUGUUUUGAACACACUUGCUUUACAAAUACAAAACAAUUUAUUGCUCCAUCAUAAAAUCAUGAAAAUAUCCAGAAUCAUACUAUACAUAUAUAAAAAUUAUUGGUCCAAAUUUCAUAAUUUUUGAAGAAGUCUAACUAUGGUAAAAAUAAUUUCGUAAUUCACGUUAUUCACUGAAAUCAUAAAUUUCUAGGUUUUCAGACUUGAAUUUGAAAAAUCAUAAUUAAUUGAAAUCUUAUCCGAUUAACUUGAAACAAGUUUCAAAACAUUCUAGACGGUGUCUAGUUUAACGUACUGAAAAGUCAGAAUUAAAAUCAAUUUGUACAAAUUACUAUGAUUUCCGUAAUAAUUCACUGUCAGCAUAUUUCUACAAAAUCGUAGAUUUCUACUUCUAUUGCAAUCGUGCUUCUCCACAACAAUUUAAUAGAAACCAAUAAUAAAAACUUACCUCCAAAACUUCUCCCAACAAUAACAACUUCAUCUCAUGCGUUGCCUAAGGUAGAACUAAGAAGAAGAAGAAGACUUUCUCCUUCUCUUUUUCUUUUCUUC
rnacentral:lncRNA from 1 species